UGGCACAGUUCAUCUGGUUUGUCAAGAUCAAAACUGAGCGGAAGAUGCCAGAGGUGAGAUCGUCAGGAAGAGCGGGAACCAGAACAUCUUUCUGCAUAUUGUGGACUUGUCUGAUCCCAGGACCAUCUGGAAAUGUGUUGAAAAUUCCAAGUGAGAGCAUACCCUCAAUGUCCUGGACUGUUGGUUCAGAAACUGAAGACCAACGACCUGCAGUCGGAAAGGACAGCAUUCGAUGGCACCAUGGUCUAUGCACAAAACAAGCGGCAGCAGGUGGUUCUGACCAAGCUGUGGGCCCAAGCACACCUGCCAUCCGCUUCUCCUGCAUGCAUCCCGGCUGCAUCGACACCCCAGGAACUAAUGGGAGAUGUGGAAAUCGAGGUUGCUCAUCGCAGCACCGGGGCUCGGCGCCUGCGUUAAUAAACCACGGGCCUCCUGUGCGGGAAAUCUGCUCGGCCCUGAAACCCCUGCUGUGGAUGAGUGUCUACCGGGAAGGAAAACUGUCUUCACUGGGCCAUGAAACAGCAGCUCCCCCAGCUGUGUGCAGCUGUGGACGGCCGGGUUCCGUGCCAGGCCGGGGGACAGGGGACACCUGCUGUGGCUGGCCCUCGCCGCCACCGCGCAGCCCAGCGGCCGCUUCAUCCAAGGUGGCUCCCCCCAGUGCGUGAAGGCGCCCACGACCCCCCUUCCCCCAACCACAGGC
rnacentral:lncRNA from 1 species